rnacentral:rRNA from 1 species
UACGGAGGAUGCAAGCGUUAUCCUGAUUUAUUGGGUUUAAAGGGUGCGCAGGUUGUUUGAUAAGUCAGUGGUGAAAGUCUGUCGCUUAACGGUAGGAUUGCCAUUGAUACUGUUAGACUUGAAUAUGGAUGAGGUAGGCGGAAUGUGUAGUGUAGCGGUGAAAUGCAUAGAUAUUACACAGAACACCGAUUGCGAAGGCAGCUUACUAAUCCAUCAUUGACGCUGAGGCACGAAAGCGUGGGGAUCAAACA